UACGGAGGGGGCAAGCGUUGUUCGGAAUUACUGGGCGUAAAGGGCUCGUAGGUGGCCAACUAAGUCAGACGUGAAAUCCCUCGGCUUAACCGGGGAACUGCGUCUGAUACUGGAUGGCUUGAGAUUGGGAGAGGGAUGCGGAAUUCCAGGUGUAGCGGUGAAAUGCGUAGAUAUCUGGAGGAACACCGGUGGCGAAGGCGGCAUCCUGGACCAACACUGACACUGAGGAGCGAAAGCCAGGGGAGCAAACGGG
rnacentral:rRNA from 1 species